UGGCUUUCUCCCCCACAUCAUGGGCUAUGUGAUUGAGCAAUGGGCUCAGUGCCUCCUCUCAUGUCUGGGGUAAGGCCAUUUUGCCUCAUACAGAGAGGUAGGGUGCGCACUCCUACAGCCUGGGCUGUAGGACAGUAGGACAGAGGGACAGAGGGAGACAGCCUACCUAAGGCUUGGGGAGCAGGCCCAGGACCAGAACUCUUGGGCAGAGUUGGCACCAGGUCUCCAGCAGGUCUGGAUUACAUUCCCUCAGAUCUCAGGCACCUCAGAGCACGGGUCCGAGACUGGCUUCUGCAAAGUGGACUCUGAUACUUGGAAGGCAGAGGGGUUUCUAGCACUGGGUUGGGGACAUUAGAUUGGGAUAGUUCCAACACCUUUGGAAGGACCUUGGGCUCAGCAACUACAGCUGCCUGGGAGGCUCAUGAGGACUCCAACCCAGCCCCAGAAGCCACAUGGGUGGCCCUGGCUUAGACUGCAUUUCCGUAAAUGUCUGUGUGAAGAUGUCAGAUUCCCUAGAAUUGGAGUUACAGACAGUUGUGAGCUGCCAUGUAGAUGCUGGGAAUUGAACCCUGGUCCUCUGGAAGAGCAGCCAGUGCUCUUAACUGCUGAGCCAUCUCUCCAGCUAGACCACAUCUCCAAAUCCAGCAAAAGUGACUACUCGGAGCGCAGCUCAGCUGGCUGUGUGACUCAGUCAUGGCCUGGAUGGAGUGCCAGCAGAGAAAAUAGUCUUCAAACCCUUCAGAAGAACAGGUCCCAUCUUCCAGCCUGGAUCUCCUGUCUGCAAGCGCCUCCCACCCUGGACUCUGCUUCCACACCAACUCUGGUCCUUGCCCAGGCAGCCUUCCCUGUGCCCAAGUUAUGUAAGUGCCUGCCCUCCUCUAGCCUAGCACCUGACCCUCUGGCCUCUCUACCCUAAAGUGAAGUUCCUGUUUGGUGGCCCCUGGUAUGAGUAUUUUUUCAUAGGUCAAUGUGACUGAGCAGGAAAGUUGGCAAACAUCCACAAUAUUCUAGCAAAAAUAGAAUCAGGAAGCAGGGAGAAAGCUGUAAGGCCACAGAACUCCAUCCCCUGCCCCACCCAGGUAAGGUGCCUCCUGGGUGGGCUGCCCCUUCCCUAACCACAGGGUCCUGUUCUCAGCAGCUACAGUUUCUCUGAAGGAGAACCCAGCUACCCUUCUCCAGCCUCACACUUGUUUCUGAAUGAAGAACAAAUGGGCAAGGCCUAAGAGCCCUCAAGGUGUGGCCCCAGGGCCCAAGCACCCUCAUCCUACCAGUUUCUUGUGACCUGUGGAGAGACUAUGAUGUGUACACAGUCAGACCUAUCAGGUAACUCAGGCUUCUCGAGUAUGGUAGGUAGAAGGUAACUCAGGCGAGACCUCAGCUGGCUGUGUUUUUGUACCCUUUUUGAGGAACUCCCAGGGCCUCAAGGCCUACAUUAGUGGCUACGCUAGGAGGUUGUCCUGGUAUUGGUGAUGCUACCAGCCAUGGGGCUCUGCUCUGUAGCCACGAGAAACCACAGGAAUUGCAUAGAAAAAAAAAAGCCACAGGUUAACUGAGGAGCCAGGACAGAUAAGGUAGUAGUGGGCUAGGACUCUGGGCUGGGGCCUCACAGCCACUACGGCAAUUCUGUUCCCUACCCUAGUCAGGCCCUGCUGAUGUCUGGUGACAAGUCAGAAGGCAAGAGACUUAGCCUGGAACACCUAGUAGCCCCGGACCCUAAGCAAGAAGAACUUGCCUUCUUCCCCACUACUUGCAUUCCUCCCCCUCAAGGAAGAGAACUUGGUGUCUAUUCUGCUCUUCAGUGAGAAGGGCUAAGGAGGCUGUCCUGGCUGGUCCCUGGUCCCCUUGUUGAGUGUCCCACGUGUCCUUGAGAAGCAGAGUCACUGCUCAUUCCUGAAGCAGCCACGCCAGGCUCCCAAGGACAAGUCCAUACGCUGCGUUGGAUCUCUAGAGCCUAGUGGUUUCUGCCUCCCGUGAUCCUGCCUCUGUGAAGGCAGAGGCCCCUGAGGAGGCCCAAACUCAUAAUACCUAUGCAGCAGGCACGGUGAGGGGCAGAACCUGCAGGCAAGAGGCCACAGGAGAAGGUAGUGUCAAGCUCUCCAGUGCCAACCUGGAAAGGCUGUAGGAAUUCUAGCCUGCCUCUGAUCAGGGAGCCCAUACAGGAAGGCCAACUCGGGCUUCAGAGGCUGGGAGCCUUCAGGACAAGAGGACCACUUUAGAAAAUUCGCCCUCUGACCUUGGGGUCCUCCAGCUGGAGCCCUGUACCCCCAGCUUCCUACCCAACAGUAUGAAGAGAGCUUGUGGUGACAGGAAGGAGGCUGAGAAACUUCAGGGACAUAGGCUUGAGGGAGAGAGGCCACAGCCACAGCAUUAUCAUGACGACAGGUAAAUAGCCUUGUAAGCCUCAGUUCUGAUAUGACCGUUUGGCCCCACUUUCCAGCCCAACCUGACCUGAGGUGAAUAGUGGCCACUCAUAGUUGCUCCUUUCUCUGGGCCUCAGCUCCACACGGGAGAGACACACUCCUGAGAGCAUCAUGGGAAGACGCUUCCAAGGAGCUUGGCAUAGUGGUUAGUGCCAUACAGGAUUGAUUGUCAGAUUUCAUGACUCCCAUCUCAUCCCACAGACCCACGGGUCUUUGCAUUUGCCUGAGGGUCCAUCUUCUAUCUAUGCCACGAUGGCAGUAUGGGGCCUUUCCAUCUACAAAGCGGGCUAGGUCCCUCUGUGUCUUGUCCUGAAUAGCAGAGAGCAGGAAGUCUCCAGAUAGCCUGGUGGCGGCGCCUCCACAUUCCUUCACAUUUUGUCCUACAGCACCAAGCUCCAGUCUAACUGUCCAUCCAUUCACUGGUCAGUUGUCUGUAAGCCACAAGCUACCGUCGAAGCCCUAACCACUCCUCCAGCAGAUGCUGCAGUGAGGGCUCUGUCGCACACACUCGGUCGUGCACCCUGUGUCUCAGGCAAAAGAACAACAAGAAAACAAACAACCAAACCCAGCUGUUUUGUUUUGCUUCUGUAAUGGAUGGCAACGAUCAGAUGCAGACUGCCCGCCUGGGAAAGCACAAAGAUCAGGGGCUGAGGAUCUAACACUCCCCAGGCUCCCCCCCUUGCCUGUGAUGUCUGCCUCAGGCCUGCUCAACAACCUCCCUCCACACCACCCCCACAACAGUGGGCCAGCACCAGGGCGGGAGGCGUUGGGAGUAUUGACGGUAUUGGGCGAUCAUUGCUGUAUUUAUAGGGUU